ACGGUAGGGCUGGGCCAGGAACGAAGAGUAUCCUUCCACAGAUCCAAAGAAAAAUUCUCUGCUCUAAAAGGGAUCCUGUUGGUUUCUGCGUUUAUGAGGUUGGUUGGAUCUGGAUCCCCUAGCGGGCCAAGGCAUUGGAGGUGUGGUUGAUCAGUGGGGAUGACAAUUUUGUUAGCCGAUUCCUAGUGGUUUUGGAGAUAGGAAAGAAAAACAAAAAAAAGGGGGAGAGAAAAUGUUCAGUAAGAUGGAUUGCGGAUGAACAGGGGUGCGAGAAAAAGUACAAAAGAUGGCGCGAAGGACUGACCUCAGGAACGAUGAAGUUGACGGCCAUUUCACCACGGAGAAGAUAUUUGAGAGCUUCGGAGUUGGUGAAGAAGGGGCUUCGUCGAGGAUUUUGGAGCUUUUGGACGGCACCGCCGCCGGGAAAGUGAGGUUGGAGUUGUGGAAUGAUAUGAUGG
rnacentral:lncRNA from 1 species